rnacentral:rRNA from 1 species
CCUACGGGUGGCAGCAGUGGGGAAUAUUGGACAAUGGGGGGAACCCUGAUCCAGCGACGCCGCGUGAGUGAAGAAGUAUCUCGGUAUUUUAAGCUCCAUUUGCAGGGAAGAAAAUGACGGUACCUGACUAAGAAGCCCCGGCUAACUACGUGCCAGCAGCCGCGGUAAUACGUAGGGCGCAAGCGUUAUCCGGAUUUACUGGGUGUUAAGGGAGCGUAGUCGGUGCAGCAAGUCUGAUGUGAAAGGUCGGGGCCCAACCCCGGGACUGCAUUGGAAACCAUUGAACUGGAGUACAGGAGAGGUAAGCGGAAUUCCUGGUGUAGCGGUGAAAUGCGUAGAUAUUAGGAAGAACACCGGUGGCGAAGGCAGCUUACUGGACUGUAACUGACGUUGAGGCUCGAAAGCGUGGGGAGCAAACAGGAUUAGAUACCCUGGUAGUC